rnacentral:sRNA from 1 species
GCUCCUCGCGGCGACAUGGAUCGGAUGGCCAGCUCCAUGAAGCAGGUGCCCAACCCACUGCCCAAGGUGCUGAGCCGGCGCGGGGUCGGCGCUGGGCUGGAGGCGGCGGAGCGCGAGAGCUUCGAGCGGACUCAGCAGCUGCAGAGGAGAUACUCGGAGGAGGAGGAAAGAGAAGUCACGGAGCCCUGUUCUUAACCGAGUUUUGCAGUCACCUCCCCAUAUUCCUCUCUCACUCUGAAGCCGAGCACAGAACCCAGCCUCUGGUGGUACCGAGUGAAGGUUGGCCUGGUUGGUUGGAUGGAUGGCCAAAUGAACUCCAGACCACUGGAUUGUAUAACAGGACAGCAAGAGGCAGCACAGAGCCGUGGAAAGAACCUGUAGCCAUAACAUUUGAUGAAUGAAUCAGACAUGUGACAUUA